AAAAGAGAAGACCAAAGGUGAGUCGUCAUUGUUCGCCGCGUGCACAUCAGAAAAGCACCAAAAACCGCUCUGCGGGGGCAAAGUGCAAGUUUACUUUACGGUUUCACGGAACCGAGUGCUGAAAGUUGUGCUGUUUAGUUUGGGUGGCCUAGUGCGUGUUGGCAAAACGUACGGAAUAACUGCAUGUCCGAUUAUCGAUAGCCGCAAAUUUAGUCCCGUUAUUCAGUCGGAAAUUUUCAACCGCGUGUUCGGUAAUUCGGUGAAAAAGAGCAUCACAAAACUGAUCCCGAAGGUACUCGCCCGGAGGCUUUUGGGAAACACGGCCAGAAUCAAGCAGAAGGGCAAAACACCAUUCCACGGACCAUCCGGCAAGCGAGCCAACGCACAAAGCCACAAGCCAACAGCAAACAUAGCGCGAGGAUUACUUCCUUCGUGCAAUUUAAGCAAAGACACAACAUCCAGGAGUCAGCACACACGCCAAGACAUCGGCCAAUGACGCAUGACAAAAGAAAGCUACCGUUAGCAAAGACAAGCAAAGAAUAAGAAGACACAUUUGCCAAAGAGCCCCUCAUUGAAGGCUUUGUGUAGGACGAGCGAAGGUGGACAACCGAAGACGAGGUCGGUUCGGACUGGGAGCCAAUAAGGUGCAACGCAUGAUGACCUGCAGCAUGUUUUAAGGAAGCUCCUGCCGGAAGAACAUCGUCGAUAGAUCGAGCAUUAGAAGAACUACUCCCAGGCACUAGUCGCCGAGAUUGCAUCAAUUCGGCGAAGCAAAUCGUUGCUGUGAGGUCUGGGAGCAGCUACACUGGGAUGUCGACAAUCGUGAGCCACACCGAGAUGGAAGGAGGAAGCCAGCCAGCCUUUGGUGUCCUGAUGACAUCGUCCGCCUGUGAACGAGAUUUUGUGCUGGUAGCCAACUCCACUAGCAUGUCGGUGUCCUGCAGAACUGUAUGCAUGAUUACAAAGAAAAUAUACAGGCGACUGGCCGAAAAUAUCACCUAUUUGAGCCAAGACGAGCAAGUUAAAAAGGAAACAGAUAGAAAGGCUACUGACCGUUUCAAUCUGGAUGCGCAUAUUCGCAUUAUAUGAGGACGACUAAGCUUAUUUAUCCUACGGCACGAAAAAAUCCCGUAAAAUUAAAUUCUAAAUUCUUUUGCGUGUGGAAACCGGAAACUUCCCGGAUGUAGACGGAAGAAAACUAGUACUGGUCCGGUCCCGA